AUGAUGCGAUGUUCUUUGGAUCAUAAGCUGUUCCAGCCCGUCUCCAUACUUUUUUAUUUCCAUCAUUUUGAUACAGGUUGACCUUGGCUUCAUCUGUCCAAAAAAUGCUGUUCCAGAACUAUGUUGGCUUUUUUAGAAGUUUUUUUUGCAAAGUCCAAUCAAGCCUUUCUAUUCUUAAGGCUUAUGAGUAGCUUGCAUUCUGCAGUGAACCCUCUGUAUUUGCUUUCAUGCAGUCUUCUCUUUAUGGUAGACUUGGAUAUUGACACACCUACCUCCUGGAGAGUGUUGUUCACUUGGUUGGCUGUUACGAAGGGGUUUCUCUUCAUCAUGGAAAUGAUUCUACGAUCAUCCACCACUCUUGUCAUCCGUGGACGUCCAGGCCAAUGCUUUCUUCCUUUCUCAGGAUGUACCAAACUGUGGAUUUUCUCACUCCUAAUGUGGCAAUUUCUCAAAUUGUUUUUUUCUGUUUUCGCAGCCUAAGAAUGGCCUGUUUCACCUGCAUACUGAGUUCCUUUGACCACAUGUUGCAUGUUCACACCUCAAUCUUCCAAAUGCAAAAAAGACACCUCAGAUCAACUCCAGGCCUUUUAUCUGCUUAAUUGAUAAUGAAAGAAUGAAGGAAUUGCCCACACCUGUCCAUGAAAUAGCUUUUAAGUGAACUGUCCAAUUACUUUUGGCCCCUUUAAAAAGAGGGUGGCACAUGUUAAUGAGCUGACACUCCUAAACCCUUCAUCCAGUUUGAAUGUGGAUACCCUAAGAUGAAAUCUGAGAGUCUGCACUUUAUGUCCAUGCCCAUUGUAUAACUUCAAUUGGAAUAUAUCUCAGUAAACAGGUAAAAUAGUAAAACUUGUGUUAGUGUCCAAAUAUAUAUGGAUCUAACUGUAGAUUGAAUAAAGAGUGAUUGAGUGAGUGAGUGAGUGAGUGAGUGAGUGAGUGAGGAAAUAGGGGAGGUCAGGCAGUGUAAAAUGUGCUGUGGUAAGAAUGUAUGGUGAAUGGGGUAAGUCAUGUGAUGAUCAUGGGUUGGGGUAACCAAUCACAGUUGAUAUGCCCUUUUUGGGAAGCUAGAGCAAAGUAUUUCAACUUGUGAAUUUCUUUAUUUGAUGUGUCACCACAUCGAGAUGGGGACACUCUGCUUCUUUCUGCUCUUCUACUUAUUAAAGAAACUUUAUCUUACAGUCUCAAUGUGAAUUAUUUUCAAGAUCCUCAAGAAGGAAAAGAAGGGUCAUUCAAAUAGUAAUUUUAUCUUCCACAAAGCGGGCACCCAACAUUGGGCAACUGAGAUUUCUGGUUGUUUCAGAGGGAGGGAUCCUGCACAGAGGUGAGUAGGGCAUAGAGCCUGACAGGACCGGAUCUGGGUCAAGAACAGGACCGGCCUGGUUCCUCAUUGGGAAACACCUGAAACCACGCUGCCCCAAAAUGGACGAUCCUGAGAUUAAAUUAAGAGACAGAUUGAACUGAGACACAGUAAGAUAAAAUUUCUAAUGUUUAACAAGUUUCUCGCUUGCUUUUCAUAACUGUGCUGUUCUGAUUCCUGCUCUGUAUUGUGCAUCAGAAACUGGUAAUAAUAGUUUUUCUCAAGGGGAAUUGCAGUUGUUGUUACUUGGGUUCAGCUUCCCCAUCAGGAAAACAAGAGGAGGGUAAUUUGGUUUCAGCAGCAGUGCAGAAUCCAGAUUGCCACCUCAAACCUUGUGCACCAGUAUACAGUACUGUGCAAAAAUCUUAUGCAGCUAAAGAAUUAAUGAUUAAAUGAUCUUCAUGUUGGUGUUGCCUGCCCAAAUGUGUCAAUUUAGCCAAUUUGAAACUUCUAAAAUUACCCCAGAAAUUGCAGCAAUCAUCCAAUACAGCCAUAUGUUUUUUGACUCGACCACUAGCACACCUUGUAUAGCUAAUCAGUAUCCUAUUGAUUUUUCUUAACUAAUAUUUUUAUUUUUAAUGUUUUUAUUGUGUUAUUCUGCAUAUGUUGUAAUACUAAAUUGUGUAUUUCUGUUCUGAGCUCUUACUACCCUGAUAAAGAGCUUUAAACAUUUCUUCUAACUGCCUCACACAGUACUGUACCUGUGUAUUGUCUAGCUCUGUAUAUUUAGACUUUAACAUCAAUUUGCAACAACCAGUCUGAGUCUGGAUCCAACUUGUCAUACCCACCUCCAUCAGACAAGGAUCCGGCUUACAAUCCGGAGGACAUGUCAGGGUUUGAAAAAGAAAUGCAAAAACAUGAUGGGUUCUCUACCAUGAGAGGGUGGAAUCCUGUAACCAGGAGGUCCACCCCGAGAGAGGCAGUAGAAAAGGGGACCGGGCUACAGUUAAAGAAGGCAUGUAAAAAAUGGAAUCGUCAGACAGGGGGUCGGUGACCAAUGGACGGCACCCUAGAUUUGGAAGAAAUAGAAUGGUGUGAGCGGAUGCUAGAAAAGAAGAGUACUGGCUGUUGCGGGAAAGGCAUGUAUAAAGCAGAAUAUUUCUACCAGUGGAAAUCUGUUGCACUGGCAAGGGCGAUACAAGGGCUACAGACCCAAGUAGACGAGCUGAAGGAAACGGGGACUACAGAGCUGAUGAUGAAUAAGGCAGAAAUGAGUAAACCCUCUCCAACUAUUCCUGGAAAGAAGACUAAUGAAAAAAAAAAGAUACCUGACCCCAAUCUAUUGUACCCGCCUCUACCUGUGCUGUCUCGUCCUCCCCCUUAUGUCCCCCCAGCACUGCAAGCUGUUGGGGGAGGAGCAGUUCCCACUGCCCCACCAUUCGAGGGAAGGCCUCAAGGGUCAUUCCAGAGCUACGCCAUCCCUGACCCACCUCAGCAUGUAGAUGAGUUGCCUGAAGAAGAAGAUGAUGAUGAUGGGGAAGAUGGUGAAAUGUUCCCUAUGGUGAAGGUUCCUAAACCACGACUGGGAGAUUACCAACCUGCAGUACCUGGUUCUGUAGUGUGUUUCUUCUGUAACCAACUGGGGCACAUCAGCACCAACUGCCCAAAACAAGGGGGAAGCGCCUCUGUUCCCUCUACUUUCCAGAAUUCACAAUCGGGAUUUGAAGGGACAGACGCCGAAAAUGGUGAAUUCGUCAUCCUAACUCAACACCUACAUGAUAGCCCAAUGCUACAAUUGACAAUAGAGGGGAAGGAAAUACCUUUCCUUGUGGAUACUGGAGCCACCAGGUCCACAAUAAAAAAAGGAGAGGUGCCCGGGGUCCGCACCACAGGAAAGACUGUUAAGGUCACAGGAGCCUCUGGGAUUUCUCGACUCUUGGAAGAAACUGUACCCCUAGCUGUAGGUAUAAACUCAGACUCUGCUGUAUGUCAUCACAAGUUUUUGAUUUCCCCCUAUUGUCCUGUUAACCUAUUGGGUCGUGACCUGAUGGGCAAGUUAGGAAUGCAAAUUGGAGUAGGGGAAGAUGGGUUCUCUGUAACUUCAGAAAAUUAAAUUUGCUACACCUGGCAACAGAAACGUCCGUUGCCUGGUGGUUGAUUGAUAAUAAUGUUCUGAGAGACUGUGUUUCAGAAGAACAGGAACAACCUGAUCAAUUACACAGUACGGUGUUACGUCUGUAUGCGUGUGAGUGUGUAUCCAUCUUUCCCUUCAGAUCCUGUUCCACAAAUCUGCCAAUCCAGUUACACAAUUUCCAUUUCCCUCCAUGAACGCAGUGCCAAAUCUGGACAAACUGGUUUCCGUUGCCUCGGUCCCAUUUCCCGCCUCUCCACCAAAUGGACUAUAAAAGAAUCCCUAUAAAAACAUCGAACAGCUUUUUGUUCUAGCGUUUGCUAUCAUUCUCUUGGCUUGUGAUUUGUAUUGCACUGCUCAUUACGAUCUGUUUUGGCUUUUCGGUGCACUCUCUUUUGGUUUUUGAUUUGGAUUUGGUUGCUGUUGUCUUGUAUUUGUUUUCAGUGUUUUGACUUUCUAAUUAAUGACUAUUCUUUGGAUUACGGAUUAGAUUUGGUUUUUGUGUAAAUAUUAUAUAUAUAUUUGUGUGUGUGUGUGUAUGUGUGUGUGUGUGUGUGAGGGUUGUAGGGAGUGGCUGCCGUUUCUUUUCUGCGGGUAUGACGUUUUGUUUUUGUUGUUAGACAGGGUUAGGUUAGUGAUUGUUUUUUGUUUCAUUUUUCUUUUGGGUUAGGGAAGUUUCGUUGGUUCGCGGGUAGAUACUUCACUUGGUUUUGUUUAUUGUUUUGGCCUGUGUCACUCCUGAAGCUUCACAUUUCCCAAAUGCACAUAUAUCUGUUUAUAUCGGCUGGGUGUUAAUUAUUUGCCAUCCUUCUUAUCCUCUACCUCCCCACUCCCUGUUCCCGAUCCUUAUCGUCCCUAGAACGGGACGUAACAACUGCAUGCUUUUUCGGAGAGGAAGGAGGAGGAGAGCGGGCACGGCAGUUUGAGGAUGCUGGAAGACCCUGUGAGACUAUUGAACUCACUGGUUUCUGUGUUUCAGAUCACAAAUCAGCAGCCUCUGUGUCCCCUGAUCAAUGGGAAUGGCACAUGGAAGGAUCAGUCCCCUAUGAAUCAUAUGGGAAGAAGGGUCAGACAGAAUGAAAAAAUGUAAAAGUAGGAUUGAUUGGGUGUGGGUACAGGGACUUAGUCUUAGAGCUGUGGCUGCAGCAGCAGUGAUAGCAAGCUCAGACCUGGUACAACUGCAUCUGCUGAUACUUCGAGUUCCCCGUGCAGUGCACACAAUCAUGACGCAGGCUAGAAUGUCCAAAGUGAUCCCUGCGAAGGCCGUGCACUGCCGAAAUGUGUUGUUAACUUUAGUCAAUGUGACGCUAGACUGAUGCCCUACUUUGAAUCCUGCCACAUUGUUGCCUGCUGAGGAGGACGGAGAGCCUCAUGACUGCCUGUAGGCGAUUUAUCAUGUGAGUAAGCCUCAACGUUCCCUUGGAAGAAGGUCUUAUCCUAUUUGUUGAUGGGUGUUCCCCGAGACUGGAAGAUGGAUCACCGGCUAUCUCCUAUGCAGUAGUGCUCCAGGAUGGAUCACUAGUAGAUGAAGAAUGAUUUCCAAGACACUGGUUCACCCAGGCAGCUGAGCUGUUUGCGUUACAGAAAGCCUGUCAACUGACAGAAAGACAGAAAGUAACUGUGUACACAGAUUUGAGAUACGCCUUCAACCUGUGGAAGCUCUGGAGAACCUAUACAGCAUCACCAGUUGGUGAAACAGUUAUUGGAAGCUAUCAUGCUGCCCAAACAGGUGGCACUUGUCAAAUGCCAGGCACAUAUAAAUCAGACUGAUGAGAUGACACUGAAGGCCAGCUUCAACGAUGGAAGAGGAUCAGAGCUAGAGAUGGAGAGGAGGUGUGGAGACACUCCGGAACUACCUGACCUUGCCUUCUUAGGUCUGCAUAUCUGGGGAUGGCUUAAUCUACUCAAAGAGGUGAUCCCGCGGUGGAGAAUCCCCAGAUGGAUCACGAUGGAUCACUAUGGCCAAUGGACCUGCUAUUGUGACAGAGGUUGUUAUGGGUCUGAGAAGAGGCGCAUAGUGGGAUUGCUGUCAAUGUCUUAGGCCUUAGGCAUGAAGAGUUUGUUCCUGUAUUGUCAGGGGUGGUGUAUGUGCUUGUAAAAUGUGCUAAAAUAGCAAGGCUGUGUAAAGGGCAAGAAGCUGACGAACAUCCGGUGGAAAGAGGAACUUGAAGGUUGCACCUCAAAACUGUCAAAUUUAAAAUAAUCUAGAGGGCUGAGGACGAGUGCAAGAGGAGAUUUAAAUUGCAAUAUGAUAAGCUGUGCUAAUGUAGAAGAUUUUGUAUGUAUAAGGGGAUAUAUAAGCUUAAAGUGACAGUAGUAGCAAUAGUAUUGAGCUACAGGACUAUAGAUUGAAUAAAGGAUGUGUUUUGCGACAUGCUAUGAGUGAAGAAAUGGGGGAGGUCAGGUAGUGUAAAAUGUGCUGUGGUAAGAAUGUUUGGCGAAGGGGGUAAGUCAUGUGAUGAUCACAGGUUGGAGCUAAACAGUCACAACUGAUGUGCCAUUUUUGGGAAGUUAGAGCAAAGUUUAUAAGUUUGUGAAUUUCAUUGUUUGCUGUGUCACCAUUUUAGGAUGGGGGACACUCAGCUUCUUUCUGCUCUUCUGCUUAUUAAAGAAACUUCACAUUG